rnacentral:rRNA from 1 species
GGGUGCUAAGGUCCAUGGUCGAGAGGGAAAGAGCCCAGACCACCAGAUACGGCGCCACAAUUAUGAUUAAGUGUGAAAGGAUGUGGAAAUUCCUUAACAGCCGGGAGGAUGGCUUAGAAGCAGCCAUCCUUUAAAGAUAGCGUAACAGCUCACCGGUCUAAUAGAGUUUCUGCGCCGAAGAUGUAACGGGGCUAAAAUCAUAUACCGAAUCUGUGGGUUUAUAAAGUUUUCGAACUUUAUAAGCGGUAGCGGAACGUUCUGUAAGCCUGUGAAGGGAUACCCGUGAGGGAUCCUGGAGGUAUCAGAAGUGCGAAUGCUGACAUAAGUAACGAUAAAAGAAGUGAAAAACUUCUUCGCCGAAAAUCCAAGGGUUUCUGCGCAAGGUUAAUCCGCGCAGAGUUAGUCGGCACCUAAGACGAGGGCGAGAGCCGUAGUCGAUGGAAAUAAGGUUAAUAUUCCUUAACCAGAUGGUAGUGACGGAUCUUAUAAGUUGUGAGUUCUUAAUGGAUUGAGCUUGCCGCGAAAAGGUUCCAAGAAAUAGCUCCAUCAUUAGACCGUACCCUAAACCGACACAGGUGGAUUAAUAGAGUAUAUUUAGGCGCUUGAGAGAAUGAUGUUGAAGGAACUCGGCAAAAUGCUUCUGUAACUUCGGAAUAAAGAAGACCUUUUUUUGGGCAACCAUUUAAAGGUGGCACAAGCCAGGGAGAAGCGACUGUUUAUCAAAAACACAGGGCUCUGCUAACACGUAAGUGGAUGUAUAGGGUCUGACGCCUGCCCGGUGCUGGAAGGUUAAUGCGGUUGGUGCAAGCUAACUUCUGAAGCCCCAGUAAACGGCGGCCGUAACUAUAACGGUCCUAAGGUAGCGAAAUUCCUUGUCGGGUAAGUUCCGACCUGCAUGAAUGGCGUAACGAUUUCUCCGCUGUCUCCAACAUCAACUCAGUGAAAUUGAAUUCUCCGUGAAGAUGCGGAGUUCGCGUAGUUAGACGGAAAGACCCCGUGCACCUUUACUGCAACUUUACAUUGGUAUUAGGAAAAACAUAUUUAGUAUAGGAGGGAGACAUUGAAGCAAAGGCGUCAGCUUUUGUGGAGUCACCAGUGAAAUACCUCUUUUGUUUUUCUUGGUAUCUAACUGAUUGCCGUUAUCCGGCAUCAAGACAUUGUAUGGUGGGUAGUUUGACUGGGGCGGUCGCCUCCCAAAUAGUAACGGAGGCGUGCGAAGGUAGGCUCAGAACGGUCAGAAAUCGUUCGUAGAGUGCAAUGGCAUAAGCCUGCCUGACUGUGAGACUGACAAGUCGAGCAGAGACGAAAGUCGGUCAUAGUGAUCCGGUGGUUCUGAGUGGAAGGGCCAUCGCUCAACGGAUAAAAGGUACGCCGGGGAUAACAGGCUGAUACUGCCCAAGAGCUCAUAUCGACGGCAGUGUUUGGCACCUCGAUGUCG